rnacentral:rRNA from 1 species
AAUCAACGCUGGCGGCGUGCCUAACACAUGCAAGUCGAGCGGGAAAGGGGGCUUCGGCCCCUGAGUAUAGCGGCGGACGGGUGAGUAACACGUGGGUAAUUUGCCCUUGGGUGUGGGAAUAACUCAGGGAAACUUGAGCUAAUUCCGCAUGACCAUCGUCGGGGCUUCGGUUCUGACGAUCAAAGCUGGGGAUCGUAAGACCUAGCGCUUGAAGAUGAGCCCCGCGUCCGAUUAGCUAGNGGCGGGGUAAUGGCCCACCAAGGCUCCGAUCGGUAGCCGGCCUGAGGGGGCGGACGGCCACACUGGAACUGAGACACGGUCCAGACUCCUACGGGAGGCAGCAGUGGGGAAUCUUGCGCAAUGGGCGAAAGCCUGACGCAGCGACGCCGCGUGA